rnacentral:lncRNA from 1 species
UUCAAUUUUUUUAUCAGCAUAAAAUAUCUAUUUUUUAAUUAUUGACAUCUCCAUCUUCUAAAAAUGAAAAUAUUUAUUUUUUAAUUUUUGACAUCUCCAUUUUCUAAAAAUGGAGAUUGAAAGUGUUGAAGUUCAGAGAUAAGGAAGGGAUUGUAAAUUUGGGGAUAAGAAACAAGAACAUGCUGAUUUAUAUUUUAGAUUUUACUUCCAUGAUAAUUUUAAUUUUUAGAUUUUAAUUUUUUGAUGAUUUUACUUUUUAAAUAAUAAUUACUUGUGACUUGAAAACUAUUUGAAAGGAAUAUGGGGACACUGGUGGUGGUUGCAGCAAUGGAGCAAAUUGGUGGUGGUUGCAACUAUGGAGAAAAAUUGAGUUGAAGAAAAAAGAAAAGUAAAAAGAGGAGGAAAAAGAAGAAGAAAGGAAACAAGUAAGAAAAAAAAUUAAGAAAAUGAGUUAAAAAUUCAAUUUGACACGUGUCAAUUAAUAAUUGGUGUGUGAUUAACACACACUCUUCAUAAAUUGAGGCUAAUACAGAAAUGGUGUAAUAAUAGUAUUUUAAACUUGUUGAGUUGGAUAAUAUGAUCCCCACAAACUUUAUGUAUUUUUUUGAAAAUUUGAGACAAUUUUAAUAAUGCUUAUGUCUUUUCUCUCAAAAUAACAAUAUGAUACUUCAAAUGUGAUUGAGUUAAUAUAGUAGAGAUAUCUCAUAAGGGAAAUCAGAAAUCAAAUUUAUUUUGAUUCUUUAUCAGCCGGUUGAGUUGGUGCAGCACAAUGUAUGUAGGAUUACUCCACCUAGUCCAUGUU